rnacentral:rRNA from 1 species
CAGGUGCUGCAUGGCUGUCGUCAGCUCGUGUUGUGAAAUGUUGGGUUAAGUCCCGCAACGAGCGCAACCCUUAUCCUUUGUUGCCAGCGAUUAGGUCGGGAACUCAAAGGAGACUGCCAGUGAUAAACUGGAGGAAGGUGGGGAUGACGUCAAGUCAUCAUGGCCCUUACGACCAGGGCUACACACGUGCUACAAUGGCGCAUACAAAGAGAAGCGACCUCGCGAGAGCAAGCGGACCUCAUAAAGUGCGUCGUAGUCCGGAUUGGAGUCUGCAACUCGACUCCAUGAAGUCGGAAUCGCUAGUAAUCGUGGAUCAGAAUGCCACGGUGAAUACGUUCCCGGGCCUUGUACACACCGCCCGUCACACCAUGGGAGUGGGUUGCAAAAGAAGUAGG